AAGGACCAUUCUAAGGUUUUCCGCGGAGCACCCAACAGGAUGCAGGUGUGGGGCCAGGAUUUGGGAGCUUGGCCUGAAAUCGAAAACCCUUGAUUACAUCCUUGCCCUGGGACUGUGUCAGUGACAACUAUCACUCAGUGGGACAGAG
ensembl:snoRNA